AUUGAACGCUGGCGGCAGGCCUAACACAUGCAAGUCGAGCGGUAGCACAGAGAGCUUGCUCUCGGGUGACGAGCGGCGGACGGGUGAGUAAUGUCUGGGAAACUGCCUGAUGGAGGGGGAUAACUACUGGAAACGGUAGCUAAUACCGCAUAACGUCGCAAGACCAAAGUGGGGGACCUUCGGGCCUCAUGCCAUCAGAUGUGCCCAGAUGGGAUUAGCUAGUAGGUGGGGUAACGGCUCACCUAGGCGACGAUCCCUAGCUGGUCUGAGAGGAUGACCAGCCACACUGGAACUGAGACACGGUCCAGACUCCUACGGGAGGCAGCAGUGGGGAAUAUUGCACAAUGGGCGCAAGCCUGAUGCAGCCAUGCCGCGUGUGUGAAGAAGGCCUUCGGGUUGUAAUGCACUUUCAGCGGGGAGGAAGGCGGUGAGGUUAAUAACCUCAUCGAUUGACGUUACCCGCAGAAGAAGCACCGGCUAACUCCGUGCCAGCAGCCGCGGUAAUACGGAGGGUGCAAGCGUUAAUCGGAAUUACUGGGCGUAAAGCGCACGCAGGCGGUCUGUCAAGUCGGAUGUGAAAUCCCCGGGCUCAACCUGGGAACUGCAUUCGAAACUGGCAGGCUAGAGUCUUGUAGAGGGGGGUAGAAUUCCAGGUGUAGCGGUGAAAUGCGUAGAGAUCUGGAGGAAUACCGGUGGCGAAGGCGGCCCCCUGGACAAAGACUGACGCUCAGGUGCGAAAGCGUGGGGAGCAAACAGGAUUAGAUACCCUGGUAGUCCACGCCGUAAACGAUGUCGAUUUGGAGGUUGUGCCCUUGAGGCGUGGCUUCCGGAGCUAACGCGUUAAAUCGACCGCCUGGGGAGUACGGCCGCAAGGUUAAAACUCAAAUGAAUUGACGGGGGCCCGCACAAGCGGUGGAGCAUGUGGUUUAAUUCGAUGCAACGCGAAGAACCUUACCUGGUCUUGACAUCCACAGAACUUUCCAGAGAUGGAUUGGUGCCUUCGGGAACUGUGAGACAGGUGCUGCAUGGCUGUCGUCAGCUCGUGUUGUGAAAUGUUGGGUUAAGUCCCGCAACGAGCGCAACCCUUAUCCUUUGUUGCCAGCGGUCCGGCCGGGAACUCAAAGGAGACUGCCAGUGAUAAACUGGAGGAAGGUGGGGAUGACGUCAAGUCAUCAUGGCCCUUACGACCAGGGCUACACACGUGCUACAAUGGCAUAUACAAAGAGAAGCGACCUCGCGAGAGCAAGCGGACCUCAUAAAGUAUGUCGUAGUCCGGAUUGGAGUCUGCAACUCGACUCCAUGAAGUCGGAAUCGCUAGUAAUCGUAGAUCAGAAUGCUACGGUGAAUACGUUCCCGGGCCU
rnacentral:rRNA from 1 species